CUUUCUUCCCCCUCUCUCCUCCCCUCUACCGUUCUCUCUCACUCUCACACACGUACACACACACCACACACACUCUUUAUUCCAUCUCUCUCGCUGCCUUAUCCCUCACUCUGCCUCUCGCUCCCUCUCCCUCUCUUUCUCUCUCUUGUUGUAAGUUCAUUUGCUGUGGCGAGCAACAACUGUCUCUCCCCGGUGCGGCGAGGAGAGCGGGUUUGGUCCUUUUGUCGAGCAUCAUCCCUCCCCGCGAGGACGCUUCUGCCGAGGCUGCCGCUGCGUCGUCCAACAGCACCGCCCCGGCGCUGGCUGACUGGUUGACUGGCUGGCUGGCUUGGCUGGCUGACUGACACGUUAGGUGCUACGGCUACACGCUGGGACUGCGACGAGGCUGCUUGCGCACAGGGGGGAACACCUGCCUGUGAACGCCCACCACUGGUCAACGAGUACGUGACCGACCCUGCGGAGAUCCUCCGCUCUCCACCGCGGACCAAAGCAAGGCAAUAUUCCUUACAAUCGGGGUGAUAUCUGCUCGGAGGCAGGGGAUCAGACGCUAGCCUGUCUAGCAGCUCGCCGGGAGGCUCCGUCUGGAUCAACCCUUACAGGGAAGUAUCAUUACAUGUGGAUAUGCUGGUGUAGAGAGAACUAUAGAGAACAGGACAGGGCUAAUAUGGGAAUCUCCUCCUCCUUAUGGAUAGCUACUGGAGGACAGGACCACCCAGACUUCAGGAAUGGCAGGGCUUCAGACUACCUCUGGCCCAGGUAAGAGCAUGCUGAGGGGGCUAACUGCCCCACACACCACCCCCUUACCUGUCUUAUGGAGCUUCAUUCAAUAUAGCAUCUGUGUGUGUGUGUGAGAGAGAGUGUGUGUGAGUGUGUGUGAUUGAGAGAGACAGUGAGAGUGAGAAUAUAAGAUGCAGACACUUGGAAGAGAAGGUAGUUUACACCACUUUUGGCUUUGGAUUGAAAAAUGCACUGUUGUUAAUUUCUAUUUGCAGAAAAGCCUUUGAUGGGGCCUUGUCUUGUGCUGCAAGGCGUCUUCAAUCAAUUAUGUUGAUACAGUGCCUCUCUGUGUUGUUUACCAUUGGGACCAACUGGGGGACUUGAUGAUGCGGUCACGAUGCGAUCGCUUGCUUGCGUUUCCCAAAUAUUGCCUCUGUGUUAAAGAUUCUCUUCGGUGACGGGUAUUCUUGGGUGGAUAAUACGGAUCACGUUGUUAUUGCUUAAGAAUACGCGUAGUCGAGGAGAGUCCUCUUCUUCCUCUUCUUCUUCGUCAGCCUUCUCUGCUGCUGAGGACAAUGAUCAGAGUGCAUCCCUAAGUGCCCCCCCCCCCCUCCCCCCGCCUUCUGGUUUGCAUUUAAUAAUAAGGGUGGUUGCUGGCACACAGAAACACAAAACAUAGAGACUGACUGACAUCCAGGCCCAUUUAUCAAGCAAGCAGACAGAGCACUGCUGGCUGCCUAUCUGUUUCGGUGAUGAUUGUGCUGUGGAGUCCUUGAAAACAGUGUCAACCAACCUCUUUGGCAAGCAGGUUUCCCCUCACAAUUUGUCAAAUAGCAUUUUUUUUUAUAUUUUUUUUAACCGUGGUGUUGUGGUUUCAUCACUGAUGAUUCAGAUGUCUAAUGUUCAUUUGCUCAUCAUGUCCAGUGAAUGAAGGUGUAUUUACGUCCAUUCUGGCUGCAUCUUUGUAUUGGGCAAGAGAUACGGUACAUUAAGUGUGUACUGUAUAGGCCUCUGACAACAGGAUCAUGUUUUGUAGCUGUCCAUGUAUCUGAGGUUUGGCUGCAUGUGCCUGUCCUUCUCUCAUGCAAAUGUCUCUAGUCUAUUUAUUAUCACUCCUCCAGACCAAGUACUCGUUACCUUCUUCCCCUCCUUUUCUUAUGCAAAUUAUUUGAAAUGACAUUUAUCGUGCUGGGUUUUCCACAUGAAAAAGCUGCAUGUCGGUGUCCACACUGAGGCACAGACAACAAAAUCUGUACUAGGAACAGCUCAAUUUAUGCAUUGAAGGAGAGGGCCCUAAAUAAACAAUUACUACAUGCUCAAAUUGAGUAUAACCGGGUUUUCCGUGUUACCAUAGAUAUAGUAAGCCAUGAAUAUGUAUGAGCCUGUCCCCCUGGUCUGAUGCACAGUGCAUUCUGAACCCUAACACCCAUGUAAAAUCCAUUUAAACACCAUAAUAGGAUCAACUUGACAUGUGGAGUCAUAUCCUCAGACAUGUCAACUCUCAUAAUCUGACACUCGAGACCCCCCAUCACCACUCAAAUAAAUCUGAAAUAAUAACAAACAAUGAUAAACCUAUUUUCCAUGUAUGGUAAAAUAUGUUUCAGUUCCAUAGACAGGAUUCAUCUUAAAACCAUGCAGUCAAUAUAAGAUUACUAUUAGCCUAUACCAAUUAUGUAUACACUAAUACUUUUUUAGAUUUUUAAGAGAAAACAAUAAUAUGCUUAAACAUUUUGAUUUGCUUGAUAUUAAUCUAAAAAGCAAUGAUUGAAGUCUCACUGAAUCUGGUUUAAUGGGUAUGCAUGAGAUAAUUACGGAAACACUAGACACUUUGUUGGCCCCGUUUUUUCACCACCAGGGGAACUACAAAACUGAUAAAGAUCUUAUCAAAAUUGCAUUUGUAUAUCUCCUUCCCUUUUACAGUGAACUAUAUUUCAGAACAGACAUCUACGUGGAAGGAUAGAGGUGGAUGGAAGUAUUCCUAAUGUUGUCCAAAGUAUCUAUGCAUUUCCUGGUUUGAAACAGACCAGGCCGUCGCUGCUGACACAAUCUUUACAUAACCAUGAUCACGUGGCGUGGUUCUGAUCCAUUCAGCUGCUCGACUGUUGUUGGCCGCUCUCUGCCUUAAGAUCUGGGGAUUUUUUGUCGGCAGGUUUACGUUAAUAUUACUAAUAGACAAUUUCAAUUAUCAUGCAGGAAGAUGGAAAAUUCAGAAACAGCCAACAGCAUGUUCUACUGUAUAGAUUCAGUGAGUUGAGCAUGUACAUAUUUAUUAACAAGAAUAGUAUUACAAAUGCAUCUCAUUAUUAAAUCGAAUGCAAAAUCAUGACAUUAAACCCAUUAAAUAUCUGAUCGCUUGUAUCCUUUCCUUUUUAAUUCAAGUGUGCUCUACAGUGUAAUUACUUAACACAGCAGCAAUGUGAACAACAGUUGCAAUGACCCAUGCAAUGUAAAAGUGCCUUAUUUUAUAAAUAAAAUAUCACAAAAGAUCCACGAUAUUGUUUUUGUACAUCCUUGACAUCACAUCCACUCAGCUGUUUUGCAGUCAUGCAGACAGUCCAUCUCUGUUCUCUUACUACCGAUGGCUGAUCUAUGUCUGGCUACUAUACUGGUUAUCCUCUUAUCGCCAUUUCCAGAUUACCAUAUUACAUCCUAUUUAAUUUCUGCACCCAGCCCCAGGGCGUCUUAGUAUGUUUUAUCUGUUGUAAUCCUGUUAAGGCAGGGUAAUUGAAGUACACACCUUACACUAGAGCCAAACGCUUAAUGCUUUCUAGGGCCCUAUCCAGUACAUAUCUUAUAACAGAGCGGAAUGCUUUCUAGGGCCGUAGCCUGUAAAACAUUUCCUUUAUGUAAUCAUAUAAAAAAAGAUAGAAUUGACGGUAUGAUAUCAUAUUAAUUAAAUAUACUAUUAACAUUCUGCAAAAUCUAUUGGAAUCGUAUUGUUAAAUAACUACUGCACUACAGUAGCCUGCAGCAAAUGAUCAAAUAUAAAGUACAGAAAUAUAGAUAUUUAGUUAAUUUGGAUGUUGAAAAAGAAAAGUUCAUUCAUCUACUCUGGCUUACAUAUACAUAUAUACAUAUAUCUUGUCCAGUCGAAAGUAUUUGCACAAAGUUAGUGGUUUGAUGAAGCUACCCCACUAGAUAUUGGUCAGACCGGUUUUUAGCCAGUUUCUUUGUCCUUUCUUGUUAUGUCUCACACUUGCUCUUUGGUUAUAUAUUUGACACUACAUUAAGUCAUUUUACAACAAAAGACUGUGGCAGUUAAUUUUGUAGGAAUGCCACAGGAACAAUUAAGGCUUCCCUGUAAUGCCAUUUUUUUCCUUCACAACCUUGUUCUGUCACACUUAUAUGUUGUGCACCUUUGGCUAUUUGUAGGGUUCUUGGACAAACCUUUGAUAUGUAUUGCAGUAACUGGUUCCAAGAGGAAACCUGGAGUGGAGAUGUGGCUUUGUAGAGGUGUGGCUUUGUAGAAGUGUGGCUUUCACAUUCAUAUUUAUUUGGCCAUACGUCAUUACUGUUCUGUUAUUAAACAGUUAAAAUGUUUUUGCUUCACUGAGGUUAACAUAGAUGUAUGAGUACUUUAAGAAUCAAUGCAAAUUCUAUAUAGAUGCCAGAUAUACAAUUGUAUUACUACAUGUAAUCAGCAAUGUUAAUUUUAUUAAUUAUAUUACAGUACAUAUAAUAUACAUAAAUAUUCAGACAAAAGUUACAUUUGCAGGGUAAAAACUGAACAUAAUGAACGGGAAUGAGAUUCAUGGUGGUCAAUGUUAAAGCCACACCUCCAUUCUGUACAUCUAUCAUUUUUUAUAAAAAGAAAUUCAAGAUCUCUUUCCAUUAAAAAAAGGGGAUUGCCCUUUUCAGAGAUGUUCCUCAAUGCACCCUUUUCACCUGCAGUGCUUCCACUGGCAUGGCCAUUUUUAGAACCCCAAAAGGUUCUUCCAGGCAACUCCACUGUACCUGAGUGAUUCACGCAGGUGGAUAUAUAACACAUAAGGCUUAUGGCUUUAUAUAUUUAAUUAAUUUGCUACAAUAGUUUUGGCUCUGAGACAAUAAUAAAUUGAAGUAAAGAAAUAAGAUUUAAAUAACCUAAACACAUUUUUAUUAUUGUAUAAACAUAUCCUGCAAAUUAUUUGGACACAUCCUUUAUUCAAAUAUUAUUAUUAUUAUUUACUUUUAUCCCUUUUUCUCUAACAAAAAAUAUUCCCUAUGGUCCUUCUUUCCAUGCCUUCCUCCAGGAACAUAAUGUGGUUUCCUCAAACAAAAUCUGCAUUAUUAAUGAACUGGGCCGUUACAACGACAGGAAAUGUGCUGCAUUUCCGUUUCUCUGUCUGGGCUACUCACUGAGACAGAGGCAGAUAUUCAUAUAUUUUCUUGGGGCCAAUUGACUCUAAUUAAAGAAUAUGAGCUGAACGUAUAGACCACAUACUGUUAGAUUAAUAAUCCAUACACCUUAUAUACACUCACUUUGCUUUGGACAUUUGGAGGUUUGUGUUCGAUAUGUGUCCAUAAUCUGUCCCCUUUUAUUUAAUGGGGAUUCUUUUCAGGUGUCAGGAGAGGCUACAGGACAAGUGGCCUUACUAACCAGUAUCUUUAAUAAAGGGAAGCUAUUGAAUCCACUGCGGCUCGUUUAAAUAUGGGUGCUAUGAAAUGUAUCCACACCAGUGGCUCCCAGAUAGGAGCUAAGCAAUCUAUUUAAAAAGCAAUUUAUUUCUCAGUAUAUUGGAGAUUACACAGAUUGAAUGGGGAGUCCGAUUCUCAGUGGGCUCAUCCCAUUCCUGAAACACAAUUGCACCCUCCACUUUUUAUCGCACCCCACUUCACAAACUCUUGUGACUAAUAUUCUUUCGAGAUUAACGCAAAUAAAAUAAAACUAAGAAUACAAUUAAAAACCAAGGCAAUAAACGUAUAAACCAAGGCAAUUACAAUUUCGAUGUCAAACGAAAAAAAA